rnacentral:lncRNA from 1 species
GGCCGCCCCCUACCCGCGACUGCCGGCGCACGAGCCCGGCCCCCCACCUGCAGCGACCGGCCGGGAAGCCAGCGUGCCACAAGUCAGAGUUGCAGGAAGUCAGACCAGCAUCUCCAGCAACUGGUCCAGGAGGCCGCACAACCACCCCGUGACACUCAGCCCCAGAUGGCCAGAACGUGAUCAGUAACUGACAGCUUCCCCAAUUUCUGUCCUUCCUUCCAACUUGGGACCAACCAGAGAAAGCCAAAAUGCUCCCCUAACCAAUCGCGAGGACACCCCGCUUCCAGAUCCCCACCUCCAGCAUCCGCCAUGGCCCCAUCCGGACAACCCUGAGCCCCCGUUUCUUUCCGCUGAAGUCUCUGCUCCUCCGCCUACCUUUGGGUUUCUGCCAUCACAAGUGUCGACCCCGCCUGCUACAGUGCGCCCUGAGUAGCAGCCUCUGCUGUUUUCACCUGGGGGGUCCUUGUUUCCAUUCUAGCGUCUGCUCAGCACCGUCCGUGUUGCAGCCGUGUUCUAGAUGGAUACAACAGGGCACAAACAGAAACCGUUUCCCCACAGGGACGCAAAUCACAAAACCCCCAUAGGAUGGUCCCACCGGCACCUCUCCUCGCUGGUGCCUCUCCCGGCGCCUCAGGCCCCUUGCUGGGAAAGCUGCCUUCCCUGAAGAAGCCAACGACAUCAAGUCUUCCAACCCAUGAGACAGUGUAUUUCUCCAUUAUUUAGAUAUUCUGAUUUCUCUCAGCAGGGUUUUGUAGUUUUCAGUGUACAGGGCUUGCACAUCUUUUGUCAGAUGUAUCCCUAAAUAUUCGUAUUUUUAAUGUUAUUGUGAUUACUUUUAUUACAUUUCAUUUGAUUGUUUUUGUGUAUUUUGGGGGGUUUGUGUAUUGUUGCAUCCUGCCAUUGGCUAAGCUCACCAAAACUCAUA